rnacentral:rRNA from 1 species
UACGUAGGGUGCAGGCGUUAAUCGGAAUUACUGGGCGUAAAGCGUGCGCAGGCGGUUUCUUAAGUCAGAUGUGAAAGCCCCGGGCUUAACCUGGGAACUGCGUUUGAAACUGGGAGACUUGAGUGUGGCAGAGGGGGGUGGAAUUCCACGUGUAGCAAUGAAAUGCGUAGAUAUGUGGAGGAACACCGAUGGCGAAGGCAGCCCCCUGGGUUAACACUGACGCUCAUGCACGAAAGCGUGGGGAGCAAACAGG